rnacentral:lncRNA from 1 species
CUCUGGUGCGAUCACACCUUCCUUUCCUCAGGGGAUUCCUAGGACUGACCAACGGCCCCCCAGGGCCCCCCGGAAGGAGACACCCCGACACUGCCUGGCUCUUCACCCCGUCCUCUCCAGUAGCCAAGGGCCACAAACCUUUGAUGUUUCCAGAAGGAAAAGGUGCAUCACCAUCGCCCCAGAUCUCUGCCUUCACGUCCACGGGAAAGCCCAUUCCUCAGGUCAUCCCAGCUGCCGCGGUGGCAUCCAGCUGCAGUCCCUCCGGCCAUCACCACCGGACUCGUCUGAGACCCGCGGCCAAGAGCCAGCCAUGGUCUUGCUUACCCAGGACACCCCACCUGCAGCCGCCACACUGCCCACUGGGCUUCAGAGAACAGAGUCACGUUCAUUCCACUGUACUGAUCUGUCGGGGCGGACAUCCCAAAGUACCACGCACCAGACGCCUGGACCAUCAGAAACGCAUCUUCCCACAGCUCUGAGUGUUGAAGUCCAAGAUCAAGGAGCCAGCAGGGGCGAGCCCACCGGCCUCUCAAAGACCUGGAGACGGCGUCUUCUCCGUGGCCUCACGGGGUGAGCCUGCUGUGCGUCUCUGCCCCAAAGUCUUACCGGGGCUCUGCUCUGGAAGAUUAGGCCCCCCAGUGCCUGGGAGAUGGGGCUGGGACUGAGUUUUGGGGACACAGCUCCCUCAUCCCACAGCACUCACCUUCCACGCUACCCUUCUCUCUUCCAGCGAGUCUGACUGGUUUUGUAAGUGCCCUGUUAAGCUCAAUCCCAAGUGCUCAGUCACUGCCAGAGGUCCGUUUUGGUUUUUCUCAAAUCUUACCCACACACUCACAAUGUGACUCUUAGGGUUUAAAUUCUUUCAUUUAAAAAUUUUGUUUAUCUAAAAGCUUUAUAUUUACUUUGAGGUUAUUUGAUAUAUGAAGCUCUUAGUGCUAUUAUUCCUGGUUUUGGUGAUUUUUUGGAGACAGGCUCUCACUAUGCAGUUCAGGCUGGCUUCAAACUCAAUGGUCCUCCUGCCUCAGCCUUUCUAAUGCUGGGAUUAUAAACGUGCACCACAAUGCCCAGCUUGUCUUUGUAAAUGUCGACUUUGUAAACACACUGUCAGGGGAUCUCUAACACUCACGCACCUGUGCACAUGAACGCACACACCUGGGAAGCCUCGUGG